rnacentral:rRNA from 1 species
UACGUAGGGGGGCUAGCGUUGUCCGGAAUUACUGGGCGUAAAGGGUGUGUAGGCGGUUCUCUAAGUUUGGUGUGAAAUCUCCCGGCUCAACUGGGAGGGUGCGCCGAAAACUGGAGAGCUAGAGUACUGGAUGGGAAAGUGGAAUUCCUGGUGUAGCGGUGAAAUGCGCAGAUAUCAGGAAGAACACCAAUGGCGAAAGCAGCUUUCUGGGACGGUACUGACGCUGAGACGCGAAAGCGUGGGGAGCGAACAGG